rnacentral:rRNA from 1 species
UACGUAGGGUGCGAGCGUUAAUCGGAAUUACUGGGCGUAAAGCGUGCGCAGGCGGUUUCACAAGCUCGAUGUGAAAGCCCCGGGCUUAACCUGGGAAUGGCAUUGAGGACUGUGGAGCUCGAGUGCGGCAGAGGGAGGUGGAAUUCCACGUGUAGCAGUGAAAUGCGUAGAGAUGUGGAGGAACACCGGUGGCGAAGGCGGUUCUCUGGGCCGUGUGACUGACGCUGAGGAGCGAAAGCGUGGGGAGCGAACAGG